UCAAAAUACUUUCCUCUAUCAUCCAUCCAAUUGUAUAGAUCUUAAAGUGAUCCAUUAUCUAUCAUCCACCCACCUGUAUAGAUCUCAAAGCACUUCAUUUCUAUAAUCCAUCCACUUGCACAAUGCUCCAUCCUUUAUUAUUUAUUUGUUUGUAUAAAUCUCAAAGCACUUCAUUAUCUAUCAUUCAUUCACUCGCACAAAUCUCCAAGUGCUCCGUCAUCUAUCCACCUACACAAAUCUCAAAGGGCUCCAUCUUCUGUUAUCCAUCUUUUUGCACAACUAUCAAAGCAUAUUAUCCUCUAUUAUUCAUCGUCUAUACAGAUCUCAAAUCUUAAAAUAUUUCAUCCUCUAUCGUUCAUUUACCUGCAUAGAUCUCAAAGCACUCCAUCAUUUAUCAUCCAUCCACCUGCACAAUCUCAAAGCACUCUAUUUUUUGUCAUCAAUUCAUUUGCCUUGAUCUCAAAGUGCUCUAUCCUUUAUCAUUCAUCUAGUUAUAUAGAUCUCAGAAAAUUCUAUCCUAUGUCAUUCUAUUCAUUUAUAUAGAUCUCAAAAUAC
rnacentral:lncRNA from 1 species